GUGUAUAAAUCAGUGAUUUUAAUAGUUGACAUGUAUCUGCCAUAUAAUCAAUUGUGUAUCCUUUGAACAUGUAUCAUAGGCAUAUAGCAGCUUUAUAGGUUGUAUUGUUUUCACGCACAGUUUUAAUAAAAGCAGAUUUUCAAACAAAUUUCUAGACAAUGCAUGCUCUAUUGGACUUAUAAAGUACAAUAAUUACUAAUUUGUAUUCUUGAUGUGCUGACAGUUUUUUGACCCGCUUUUAUUUAUUUUAUUUCUGUAUAAAUCAGUCAUCUAAACCGAAAAACUGGACCGAAUGGCUUUUGUUGCGGCUUGUAGGCAGUGGGGGCAAUUUGGAAGCAGUUGGUUUGUAGGUAUAUUUCUGAACACGUGAAAUCGAAUGGAAAACAGUUGUUUCUGGUUGACACAUUAGCCCUAAUUGAAAUGAUUCAAGAAUUCAAUUUGUCCAAAUUCAAGAGCUCAAAGAGAAGGCCAGGCUCUCCAAUUGAAGGCUACAAGCUUAAAUUCCCAUAUAACUAUUCAAAAAACGUCAAUACUUAGACUACGACUUAUUGAGAUUUUUGAUGUAAAAUGGCUUCAAAUGCGCUAUGCAACUUCUUUGAUUGGGUGAGUUUUCAAGCUUCAGUUUUAUGAUUUUUUUGUUGUUAAUUUAUGACAUGCAUUUUUUUUUCUUAGGGGACCAUCCACGCUAGCUACUUUUGUAGCUGUAUAUGCACUUUUUGGGCCAACCUUUCCCGGAAUUUAUGACAAAGAAAGAAGUGUUUACACUAUUUUACCAGUGUGUACACAAAAUACAUAAUUUUGUCAUAAAUUUUGUUCUUUUCAAAAUAUAUCUUUGACUUUCAUGCUUGGGUUUCUUAUGUGUGUAUUUUGCAGGGCCUGUCCUUUGCUUUUUGAAUUCCUAGCCAGUAUACAGAUUGCUGCCAUGGUAGGGAGGGUAUUGUUUCAGUGUUUUCCAACUUUUUUUUUCAGUCAGUAUUUUCCAACUUAGAUAUCAUUUUUUAGAGAAUUUUGAAGUUCUGAUAACUUGAUUUCACUCCUUUCUGUCAUGGAAGUGGAAUUGCCAUUCGAGUUUCCGGAUGGUACCACACCAGUGACAUGUCAUGUCUCCAUAUAUGAUGGUUCUACGGAGAAGAAAGUUUGUGUAGGAUCCUUAAUGGACAAGGCUUCUGCUCCUUCCUUACCUGUUGGCAGCCUUUACAUGGAGGAAGUGCAUGUUAAGGAUGUCUGUCUGGACUGAAUUAGGUCGUCCUUGUGGAAUUCAUCAAAAUCAGCUUGAUCAUCGAACAAUGCCUUAUCCUGAGCAGUAGGCAAUGCGACCUGGACUUCUUUUUAUGCAACCAGGACUUCCCAUUGUUUGAGUUAUAGUCGUACAGGCAAUGUAAUCAUAACGUCUCGUGUCUUUGACCCUAAAUUAUAGAUGAACAGAUCAUGGCAUUUUGUAA